CCUACGGGAGGCAGCAGUGAGGAAUAUUGGUCAAUGGUCGGGAGACUGAACCAGCCAAGCCGCGUGAGGGAGGAAGGUACAGAGUAUCGUAAACCUCUUUUGUCAGGGAACAAAGGCGGGGACGUGUCCCCGGAUGAGUGUACCUGAAGAAAAAGCAUCGGCUAACCCCGUGCCAGCAGCCGCGGUAAUACGGAGGAUGCGAGCGUUGUCCGGAGUUAGUGGGUUAAAAGGGUGCACAGGCGGUCUGUUCAGUCAGCGGUCAAAGCCCGGGGCUCAACCCCGGCCCGCCGUUGAAACUGGCAGUCUCGAGUUGGAGAGAAGUAUGCGGAAUGCGCGGUGUAGCGGUGAAAUGCAUAGAUAGCGCGCAGAACUCCGAUUGCGAAGGCAGCAUGCCGGCUCCACACUGACGCUGAGGCACGAAAGCGUGGGUAUCGAACAGGAUUAGAUACCCGAGUAGUC
rnacentral:rRNA from 1 species